rnacentral:lncRNA from 1 species
UUAAAUUUUCCAGCUCUUAGCACAGCAGGUCUUGAAUAACAUCGUUUCAUUCAAUGUUGUUUUGUUAUAACCUUGAUGAGAAAAAAAAUCAAUUCCCAGCUGGGGCCACUGUCUGUGGAGUUUGCACGUUCUCCCCAUUUCUAUGUGGAUUUUCUCCAGGUACUCCAAUUUCCUCCCACAUUCCAAAGACAUGUGCAUCAGGUUCAUUUAGCAUGUCCACAUGGCCACUGUGUGAGUGAGCAUAGGUGUGUGAGUGCACCUCGUGACGGAAUGGCAUCCUGUCCAAGGCUGGUUUCCGCCCGGCACCCUGAGAUGCCAGCAUGGGCUCUAGCCACCAGGACCCUGAACUGGAAUAAGUGGCACAUUAAAUCACUGUCUUCUCUGAUUCUGGAUCUGAAGGUUUCUCUCUGAGAAUGAAGUCUGCAAUCUGUCACAUCAGAACAGGAAGAGAGGAUUUGAGGGAGAACCCCUUCUCAGAUCUCCAGAGUGUGGAAGGGACGUUUUGGUGCUGGCUAUGGCUUUGUGACACUGCAGUUGAAACGGGCAAAGUGGGCUCCUCACUUGAAGAACUUUGAUGCCUCUAAAUGCUCUGAUGAGAAAAAACUUGUCCUCAAAAUCGAUGGUACUUUCUUGAAGAAAUGAAACGCUCCAGCACAUGAGGCACUGUUAAAUGACCAGCUGUGUAACCUCGAAUGCAUCAUGUAAUUGCCCUCCAUUCACUUAAGGUUCUAUAAAAUGGCCUCAUCCCUUGCCCCCAGCUGAGGCAGGAUGCUGAGACGUACUGGGGGAAUGCUUCUCAAUACUUCUCAACACAGUAUUGGGAGAAUAUUUUUCAAUGGGAAGAGGAGGGUUUUUAAGGCACUAAAUGGUAUUAUGUGAAAAAGAUUCAGAAUUAUUAUCACUGUGAAGCAGAGGAUGACUUUUUUAAAACAUAGAUUUUCAUUGUUGGUGGAACACUACAAAAUCUUGUUCAGUGUCAUCAUUUACAGUUGUUCUACAGAGGUUAAGGGACAUGCCCAAGAUCUCACAACUGUGCACUAAAUGAGAUAAUAUACCUAACUGUUUAGCACAGUGCCAGUGCAUAAUAAGCAGUCAAUAAACGUCAGUUGCUGUUGCAACUGCUGAUGUUGUUUUUACUAUGAUUCAGGUCUCCUCACUCCCAGUUCAGUGCUGUUAUUAUCAAAUACAAAAAGAAACUACAGGAAGGUAGCUUUAUGAGCCCAAGCAAUUUCUUACCAUAAGGAAAAUUAUUUCUUUCAUAAUUGAGAAAGUGCAAGCCGAGAGAAGGUAAGUGCUAUGCCUUGGCACAUAAUUCCCAGGAUGCUAACAUCACACUGAAGACUAAUUCAGGGGCUUGACUGGAGGAGGAGAGGCUACUCCUUUUUCCUAAUCCUUCAGCUCUCAGUGAGCGAUAGCACAGAGAACCUGCAUGUUGUGGACCAGAGACUGAAUCCAGUCUACAGCAACCCUGUCCUCAGCACCGGAGAUUGAAUCUAGGCUAUAGCAACUCAGCCCACAGCCUGUAGGAAAGAGCAAUGUCCUGAAAAUGCAAAAUGACACUGGCAUGGAGAAAGGAGAAACUGUCCAGCAGAUGAAGCUGGGAAAGAGGUGUGGUCAAAUGGGAAAAAAACAAAAAUGAAAGACAAAAAUCAGAUUCCUACUCACACUAUAUAUAAAACAUAAACUCUGUAGAUAAAGGAUUUAUGUAUCAAAACUAAAAUUAUAGAAUUCUUAGUAAAAAUAAUGAACAUCUUUUAGACUUCAGGACUGAGAAAGAUUUCUUAAGGCACACACAAAAAUUUGACUAAAAAAACAUUGAUUUGAUUGUGUUAAAAUUAAGAACUUUUGCUCAUGAAAAUGCAUCUUAAAUAAAAAGACAAGGUAUAAACUGGGAGAAGAUAUUCACAAUACAUAAAAUCAGCAAAAGAUAAG